rnacentral:rRNA from 1 species
CAGCAGCCGCGGGAAUACGAAGGGGGCUAGUGUUGUUCGGAAUUACUGGGCGUAAAGCGCACGUAGGCGGACAUUUAAGUCAGGGGUGAAAUCCCGGGGCUCAACCCCGGAACUGCCUUUGAUACUGGGUGUCUUGAGUGUGGAAGAGGUCAGUGGAAUUGCGAGUGUAGAGGUGAAAUUCGUAGAUAUUCGCAGGAACACCAGUGGCGAAGGCGGCUGACUGGUCCACAACUGACGCUGAGGUGCGAAAGCGUGGGGAGCAAACAGGAUUAGAUACCCCCGUAGUCCCUGUCUCUUAUAC